UACGAGUGCCCCGAGCGUUAUCCGGAAUUAUUGGGCGUAAAGGGUGUGUAGGCGGUAGUGUUAGUCUUCUGUCAAAUUCUUCGGCUUAACCGGGGGCAUGCAGAGGAAACGGCACAACUAGAGGAUGCGAGAGGUGAAUGGAACUCAUGGAGUAGGGGUGAAAUCCGUUGAUAUCAUGGGGAACACCAAAAGCGAAGGCAAUUCACUGGCGCACUCCUGACGCUGAAACACGAAAGCGUAGGUAGCGAAAUGGG
rnacentral:rRNA from 1 species